UACAGAGGUCUCAAGCGUUGUUCGGAUUCAUUGGGCGUAAAGGGUGCGUAGGCGGCGCGGUAAGUCGGGUGUGAAAUUUCGGAGCUUAACUCCGAAACUGCAUUCGAUACUGCGGUGCUUGAGGACUGGAGAGGAGACUGGAAUUUACGGUGUAGCAGUGAAAUGCGUAGAGAUCGUAAGGAAGACCAGUGGCGAAGGCGGGUCUCUGGACAGUUCCUGACACUGAGGCACGGAAG
rnacentral:rRNA from 1 species